rnacentral:rRNA from 1 species
UACGUAGGGUCCGAGCGUUGUCCGGAAUUAUUGGGCGUAAAGAGCUCGUAGGCGGUUUGUUGCGUCGGCCGUGAAAACCUGCAGCUUAACUGUGGGCCUGCGGCCGAUACGGGCAGACUUGAGUUCGGUAGGGGAGACUGGAAUUCCUGGUGUAGCGGUGGAAUGCGUAGAGAUCCGGAAGAACACCAGUGGCGAAGGCGACACGCUGGGCCAUACCUGACGCUAAAGCGCGACAGCAUGGGGAGCAAACGGG